rnacentral:rRNA from 1 species
UACGGAGGGUGCAAGCGUUGUCCGGAUUUAUUGGGUUUAAAGGGUGCGUAGGCGGCUCUUUAAGUCAGUGGUGAAAUACUGCAGCUCAACUGUAGCAUUGCCAUUGAUACUGAAGAGCUUGAGUACAGAUGAGGUAGGCGGAAUUUAUGGUGUAGCGGUGAAAUGCAUAGAUACCAUAAAGAACACCGAUUGCGAAGGCAGCUUACUAAGCUGUAACUGACGCUGAGGCACGAAAGCGUGGGGAGCGAACAGG